AUUGGUUGGACCAUGUGUGACAUUUACAUAGCCUGCAGGGAAGCUGGCUGCCCCACCCUAAUCUGAUUAUGCAAAAGGAGUCUUUGCUUGGCUGAUACCAUGUUGUCUGCUCCUGACUGCGCAUGUGAUUGAAAAGGAAAAGGGAAGAUGGAACCACCAUUUUGAACAUGCCUAGUCCCAGGUAGCCUUUUUCUAUUGGCACAGCUGCUGGCAUUCACCAGUACAAGCUUCCAGCUUGCUUGUCUAUGUCUGCAGCUUGAUUUUACAGGCUGGACUUUGUUAGAAAAGUAUGAUUUGGGGGCUUCUUUUCAUUAAAAGGAAAGCAUUACUGAGGACUUCCUUACCCUCACUAUCUGCCUAAAUAAUUUCUUCUUAGCUCCUAUAUCACCAGCUUGAGCUAUCUCUGUUGUUCAAACCAACAAGACAAUUUGCUGAGGCCUGGGAGUGCCCCUCUCCAGAGAAUCCUUGAUGUCCCAAAAUUUGGUUGAGAUCUAAGGCUUAUUUUGCUGUGUAACUCCCUUUCUGGAGUUUUAUUCACUUCCAACAAGGAAGGUGAGUUUUCCUGCUUCCCUGACGAUUGAGAGCUGCUCCAUCUGGAGCUUCAGCUCACUUUCAGCUUGCUUCCAACAUGGAAGGCAAGUCUGAGUUUUUCCAGCUUCUGAGAUAAUAGAGAGCAGUUUUCUGCCUGGGCCCCAUUCCUAGGACUUUGAAAAUGUCAACCUACUCCCUCCUGACCUGUAUGGUUUCCAUUGAGAAUACCAAAUGAAUUGGAGCUCCUUUAGGUUAUUUGCUAAUUUUCUCUUGCUGCUUUUAGGAUCUUCUCUUUAUCGUUGUCCUUUGAGAGUUUGAUUAUAUCUUUUGAGGUAGUCUUAUUUGGAUCAUACCAAAAAUCAGUAGCAUUUCUAUAUGCCAACAGUGAAUAAUCUGAAAAAAAAAUAAAAGGGUAAUCCCAUUUAUAAUAACCAUGAAUAAAACUAAAUACCUUGGAAAUAAACUUAACCAAAGAAGUGAAAGAUCUUUCUAUAAUGAAAUCUAUAAAAAACUGAUGAAAGAAAUUGAGGAGGACACCAAACAUGGAAAAAUAUUCCAUGUUCAUGGAUUAGAAGAUUCAAUAUUGUUAAAAUGUUCGUACUACCCAAAGCAAUCUACAGAUUCAAUGUAAUCCCUAUCAAAAUACCAAUGUCAUUCUUCACAGAAAUGGAAAAAACAAUCCUAAAAUUUAUGUAGAACCACAAAAGAACCAGAAUAGCUAAAGCUGUCCUAAGCAAAAGGAACAAAACUGGAGGUAUCACAUUACCUGACUUCAAAUUAUACUACAGAACUAUAGUAACCUAAACAACAUGGUACUGGCAUAACAAACACAUAGACCAAUGGAACAGAAUAGAGAACCCAGAAACAAACCAAGACAUCUAGAGUGAACUCAUUUUCAACGAAUGUGCCAAGAACCUACACUGGGGAAAUACAGUCUCGUCAAUAAAUGGUACUGGGAAACCUGAAUAUACAUAUGUGGAAGAAUGUAACUAGACCCUUAUCUCUUUCCAUAUACAAAAAUCAAAUCAAAAUGAAUUAAAGAUUUAAAUAUAAGACCUCAUACUAUGAAACAACUGUAAGAAAACAUUGGAGAAACUCUCUAGGACAUUUGUCUGGGCAACAAUUUAUCGAGUAAUAUCACAUAAGAACAGGCAACCAAAGCAAAAAUGGACAAAUGGAAUCACAUAAAUUUAAAAAGCUUCUGUGCAGCAAAGGAAACAACAAAGUGAAAAGAUAACCCACAGAAUAGGAGAAAAUAUUUGCAAACUACUCAUCUGACAAGGUAUUAAUAACCAGAAUAUUUAAGGAACUCAAACAACUCUAUAAGAAAAAACUAAUAAUCCAGUUAAAAAUGGGCAGAAGAUUUGAACAGACAUUUCUCAAAAGAAGAUACACAAAUGACAAACAGGCAUAUGAAACAGUGCUCAACAUCAUUGAUCAUCACAGAAAUGCAAAUCAAAACUGCAAUGAGAUGUCAUCUCACCCCAGUUAAAAUAGCUUAUAUCCAAAAGAUAGGCAACAGCAAAUGCUGGCAAGGACGUGGAAAAAAGGAAACCCUCAUACACCGUUGGUAGGAAUGUAAAUUAGUACAACCACUGUGGAAAACAGUUUGGAGGUUUCUCGAAAAACUGUAAAUUGAGCUACCAUACAGUUUAGCAAUCCCAUUCCUAGUAUAUACCCAAAGAAAGGAAAUCAGGAUAUUGAAGAGGUAUCUGCACCUCCAUGUUUAUUGCAGCCCUAUUCACAAUAGCCAAGAUUUGGAAGCAACCUAAGUGUUCAUCAAGAGAUGAAUAAAUAAAGAAAAUAUGAUACUUACACAGAAUGGAGUACUAUUCAGCCAUAAAAAGAAUGAGAUCCUGUAAUUUGCGACAACAUGGAUGGGACUGGAGGUCACUAUGCUAAGUGAAUUGAGCCAGGCACAGAAAGACAAACAUCACAUGUUCUCACUUAUUUGUGGGAGCUAUAAAUCAAAGCAAUUGAACUAAUGGAGACAGAGAGUAGAAUGAUGGUUACCAGAGGCUGGGAAGGAUAGUGGGUGAGUUGGGGAGGUGGGGAUGGUUAAUAGGUAACAAAAAAAUUAGUUCAAAAGAAUGAAUAAGAUCUAGUAUUUGGUAUCACAACAGGGUAAAUAUAGUCAAUAAUAAUUUAGCUGUACAUUUUAAAAUAACUAAAAGAGUAUAAUUGGAUUGUUUGUAAUACAAAGGAUAAAUAUUGAGGGAUGGAUAUCAUAUUUCCCGUGAUAUGAUUAUUACGCAUUGCAUGCCUGUAUCAAAACAGCUCAUGUACCCCUUAAAUAAAUAUACCUACUAUGUACCCAGAAACAUUAAAAAUAAGAGGUUUUUUAAAAAAUAAAAAUAAAUAACAGUCACAUUACCGGGGCCCAAAUGAAUGAAAUUUUCAAAAUAGUAUUUUCAAAUCAAAAUGCAAAUAGGCUAAUUUCCUAGAUCCAAGUGCAUGCAUUUUUUUCUUCCUCUUUAUUAUACAUCUGCUUUUUCUUAAAUUUUAGCUUUUAAAGGUUCAUUUGACUGUCAGGCUCUAUUUUAUUACAGGCUCUUAUAAAUGGUUUCCUCACUGUUCUAAGAACAGGUUAUUUCUCCUGCAUUAUUCUCUGUGGGAACAGUUUCCUGCAGUUUGCUGAGAAUUGCUGUUUAGUUGAUGACAUUUUCACUUCUGCCUGGGUCUUGCUUCACAGUACCAAGCUGAAAAUUACCUCUCAACUUAAAGUCAUCGGUUUAAGAAUUUGAUAUUUCCAGAAAAACCAUUCCCAAUACCCACUCUCUCCUUCCUCUUUUCACCCAGGUCCCCUUUCUGCAUUUCUACUUUGUGGAUUAGAGCCUGACAGUUACAACAGACUUUGGAGUUUAAACUUUGUAUCACAAUUUGGUGUUCUUUUGAUUACAUGUUUAAGGUUCUUCUGCCUUUCCAUAAAGCUAGGAUUUUACACUCCCUCUCGGGAAUACCCUUUUAUUUUAGUCUUUGUUAAAUGAGAUUAUACCAAAGUUAUGUGCUUAAUAUAGCUGUUCAUCAAUAUAAUAUGAAUGUCAGGUAAAAUCCUAAAUGUAAGAAAAUAUAGCUUCAGUAACUAUAUCAGUCAAAAUCUAGUCAAGAAAAAGAAAUUCCACCAAGUAGUUUAAUUGAAGGCAUUUAAUAGUGGUGAUUAAAUGGCAAAAGUGUUAGAAGAGCCUGAAGAGCAAAUUAAAGAAGCACCCCUAGGGCUGAAGGCACUAUGAAAAAGAUAAUGUUAACAGAACACAGGAGCCAAGGCCACCUCGAGGGGACAGAAUCAUGACAGGAGCCUCCCAGCAAAAGCUGGGGCCAUGGAGGGACACAAUCACCAAUUAUUGCGAGGGAUACCACCUAAAGAAGGAUUGGGGGAUAGGCGGGAGAUUGAGCUGGCAAGCAUGAAUGAGCAUGGGAGAAAUACAUUGGUUUCCCCCUCUUUUAUCUCUAGUCUUUUACCAGGGCCUCCCACUAAUUGAAUCUAACCAGAAGCCUGGGCAGUAUAAUUUGCACCCUUCAAACCACCAUGAUACAGAGCAAAGCAAGGGAAAAAUGGGGAGUGGAUUGGAAAAACAAAUACACAGUAAUGGUAAUCACUUUGUUGAGCCUACUCCAGCCAUAGAGGUUAUUAGCAAAGGUGAAGAAGUGGGUGUUUGACAGAUAAGAGAUGUCUUGGGUAGGAGAGCUGCAUUCUUUGUAGAAUCAAGUACUUACAUGCUGUUCACUAUGGAUGGGACAGGAAACAGAAUGAACAACCCUUGCACUUAGAAAGCUAAUAGCCUAGCAGGAGAGUCAGGCCAUUAAAAUCUAUAAUAAACUUAUAUAUAUAUACACAAAAUAAUGUAUAUUAUAUAUUACUUAUAUUAGACUACUAUAUAGGUAUAGUAAUGUAUAAUAUAAAAUAUUUAUUAUGUAUUUAUAAUAGAUAAGGCACUAUGGGAACAUAUAGUUGGGAGACCUAAUCUCCUGGGACAAUCAGAAGGUUUCCUGGAGGAAAUAAUUAAGAAUGAGUGGGAGAUGGAAGCAGAAAAUGAAAAGUACAAGAAAGGGAGGAGAUGAAUUCAGACCAAGGAACAGCAUGCACAUUGUGGCUUGAAGUGGGAAGAGAGGAAAUGCUGAGACAGAACAAUGGCUGUGGGGAGAAGCAGGGGAUGUUGCUGGAAUUGGAACUGGGGAGGAAGGCUAGAUGAUGUCACAAAGGGCUUUGUGGGCUGUGUUGGAGUUUAGACCUUAUGCUAAAGGAGAUAGGAUGUUGCUGAAAGGUUUGAACUAGGGAAAUAACAAUCAGAUUUAUGGUUUAGAAAGGUCGUUCCAGACUGGUGGUUGGGAGAGCAGGUAGGACAUUAUCUAGGUGAAAGAGGAUGCUACCCUGGACCAGUAUAGUGAAUGAGGGUGAAGAAAAGUUCUAGAGAUACUUGGAAGGUUGAAACAGCAAUGCUUUAAUUGGUGAUUGAUUGGCUAUAUGGGUAGGGUUAAUAGGAGAGAAGGAUUACGUUUGGGUCCCGGAUAGAUAACAGUGCUGGCUGUUAAAAUGAAGAACACAGUCAGUGAGGCAAUCUGGAUGGUUACGAAUCAAGGGCUGGGCAAACAUUUUCUGUAAAGGGUCAGAUAGCAAAUAUUUUGAGCAUGGUGGGCCAAAGAGCCUCUGUUGCAACUACUCAGCUCUGCCAUUUUAGUGUGAAAACAGAUGUAGACAAUAUGUAAACAAGUGGGUAUGGCUGUGUCCAAAUAAAACUUUUCAAAAACAGUUGGUGGGCCAGGCGCCAUAGUUUGCCUACCCCUGGUUAAGAAGUGAGUUUCCUAUUGUAUUUUAAGUGAGUUUCCUGGUUAAGAAGUGAGUUUCCUUGCAUUUAAGGGGAUAGAAGACAUCCAGGUAGAGAUGUUGAGUAGACUCUAGGCAUGGGAGGGAGUCCUCCUACUCCUCUCUUGGCCUCAUCUUCCACCCUGUUAAAAAAAGUAGCUACAAAAGCUCAAAACCAAACUUCAUUACAAAAUGGUUAUCUUCCUGUGGGAUAGCUAUUAGAAGUUUUUUUGGGGGUGGGGGGACAGGGGCAGGGAGGAGAAGAAGGUUGACUCUUAAGAAAACCCAGUACCUUAUAUUUUGACUUUUUUUUCCUGCCUUUUUGUUUCUCCUUCUAUUCUUAUACCAGAUGCUUCAUAUGUACAUCAUUUAGUUAUUGUGCUAAUACUAUUAUUUUCUCUUGUUGGUAAGACAGCAUUGUCUUCUGACAUAUAUUAUGUGUCCACAGUCUGCUGAACACUGACACAGUACCUGGAGAUACACAGAUGGAUAUGGUGGUACCCAAGAGUGCCCACACUCUAGUGUGGGAAAAACUACAUUAAAAAUUGUCCCAUGAUGUCAUGUGAAGGAGGUAACAAUGGAGGUUUGACCAUAAUUCUAUGAAAAGACACAGGGAGAAGCUUGUAGUUAUUCCUGCUGAGUGGCUGGGUGGGUGGGUAGAAGGUUUCUUAAACUAUAUGCCUUGCAAAAUUAGUCAGAUUAAUCAACCAAUUGUAAUGUUGAUGGAAGUGGGACGGGUAGGGUUGUGGGAUUCUCACAGAAGAAACAUCAUGGAUAAAGGUAUGGAAAUGUGAAGAUGCAGGGUCUGUUCAGAGGAGAGUAAAACCGGGGUCUCCUAAAACCCUGGCACAACUGGAAAGACUUGGGAUAUUUCUUGGGUGAGAAGGUUUCUGGUAUUGAAUUUCCACUUUCUUUUUCAUGAGUCAGACAGGCAGAGCAUUUGGCUGGUAGGACAAGGGCUUUGUUAGUGGGGUUGGGGGGUCUGGGGUGCAGUAGAGUGCUUAGUUGGUCCAGGGGUUUGAUGCCACGAAGCUUGCCCACAUCCAUCUGGGGAGCUGAAUCAUGGCUUACAUUUCUGGUUGAUCCACUGGAAGUAGAAUAUUGCUAAGGGACACUCAGAGGACUUUAAGCAGGGUCUCAGAUCUCUGCGCUUUCUGGUGGAACCCAGUAAUUCAGAUAAUGUGGCUUCUGAGAAUUGUUCCCAAAAUGGGAGAAAAUAGCUUAUGGUAAACACGAACAAAUCAAUGACUUCCAUGCUGUGGUUAUGGUUAAAAGAUUUUUAAUAUUUUUUUGUUAGGAGGAACCAUCAUAUGUAAAAAGGAGUUCAUUGUAUCUGCUCAAACCCAUGUCACUGUCCUAUAGUCUGAAUUUUUGCUGUGAACACUAAAGAAAACAUUUAGCAAAUUGAAGUCAACCAUGCAAUGCAGCAAAAAUUCUAAUAAUGCUUUGCAUCUCUUCCCCAACUCAGAGGCACUGAGAGAAACAGAAUGUGCCUCAAGAUGGAGCCCUUGAACCACAAAGUUUAGAAGCAAAUUCAGUGACUUUGUAAACUUGCCAGGCACAGGCAAAGUUGCAGCUGCUGGUCAAAGCUGGUGGCAUUUCUCAUGUAGAAAUCAGAAGGUGUGGGAAAGCGGUAUCCCCUAUCCCCUAAAGCUUUCACGAGGGCCAGGCAAACCUGAGGGGCAGGCUGGUAUGGCAGUUUUCAGACUUGGGCUCCAACAGCUCACAGGGUUAUAAAGUUAAAUCAACAGGAUAAAUAAUUUUACUUGUAUUAAUAAAUAUACUUAUUUCUCUAACAAAGUACAUAUUUCCCUCUUCUUAAGCCCAUCUCAAAUGGUAAAAUCACUACUUGAAAUUUUAAUAAUCCUCUGUGAUCCCUAGUAGGUUCUUACUGGUAUAUAAGUACUUUCCUUAGACAUGAGGGAAUGACACACAAAGGAAGCAUCAAGUAGGAGGCUACUGCAAUACCCAAGUAAAUGGGAUGCUCCUCACAGCAGGGCAGUUUCCCUGCUGCCUAGAGAGGAAGGUGGCUCAAUGCAGGAAGAAGAGCUAGGGCCUCAGCAUCUGCCAUGUCUAGGCUAGAGUCUGUCUCUGUCCUUUCCUAGCUAUGUACUCUCAGGCUGGCUUCUCAACCUAAUGAUAACACUUCCAGAUCUUAAGGAUUGAAGAUAAUGCAUUAAAGUGCCUGAGGCUUGUGCCUAUGAAUAAAGUGCCUACUACUGGUUACUGUUGGAGCAGCCAUGUCUACAUGUUCAAGCUGUGCACUGAACAAGACAUCACAUGUAUGGAGGUGCCAUUCACACUUUAGACAUAUGAUGUAUAUCAAUGCAGGUGAGCCCCAGAGCAACACCCUUUACAUCGACCCACACUGGUCCAUGCAGCCAUGUGCUUAUGGGGCAAGCAUGUGGACAGGCAUGAACUAUUGCACAUGUUUGCAAAGCUGUUACCUGCCCUGACUAUACCUAUUCUUUCGCCCCUCCCACCUGCAGACCCAAAUAGAAAUCUGAUACAGUCACCCCUCCCACUUUGGCAGGGAAGGUUCAGUAAAUAGGCUGUUAUUACCAGGAGCCUGCAUGACUCAAGCAAGCAGGUAAGCAGGGGUUCUUGGAUAACAGCUCAGGCUGUGCAGCGUCUUUGCCUGGUUCCUCACAAGCCUUUCAUGCUCUAGCCAAUGGCUUAGGAAUGAUCCAUGGAACUGCCUUUGGGGAGUUUUCAGCUGGAUGGUAGCAAUCUUCCCAGCAUUAACCCCAUCCCCACCCUUCCCACUCUUCUACAAGUGGACCAUCGGCCACAUAAAGGGCCAUAUGCCACACUUUUUCUGGCCCAGCUGUGUAAGCUUGUCCACCUUAGCUACUGCUAAGUGACAUCAGGGUCUAUCACAUUAUCGAUAGCACAGACUUUUGUUUGCUGAUAUCCUAUUAAUUAAUUACACUUAGUAGUGCUUUGUACAAUUUUUAGAUAUUGUUAUCCUUGUGUUCUUUCUACUUCUCAUCUUCUUUCAUUUUUUCCUUUUUUCCCCUAAUAAUCCUCUUUGCCUUUUUUCUUUCUUACUGAGGUUAUGUCUUUCUUAUAACUUUGUCCUUCCCCAUCUUCUCUUCAUUCCUCAUGUCAGUUUUCUCUUCUCAGUCCAUAGCUCUUCUCUUCUCCAUGUUUCUUCUUCUUUCUUGUUCAAUUCCUUCCCCUCUCUCUAUGCUUUCCUUCCCACUCAGUUUUUUCUUUCAUUCAGUUUUAUUUCCUCCUCCACCCUCACAAGCACCUUCUCGAUUUUUCCCUCCCUUAUUCAAUAGCUUAGUUUCUCCCAGGGAUACUGGCGUUAAAGAGUUCUGGUAGAUGGAAAGUCACAAAGGUGGGGGCGCUAGGUGCCCAUUUGGUCCAAGCCAGGUCCUGCAAAUGUCCAUUUCACUUCAAAUCCUUAAAACAAAGACUAAUGGAAUCCAGAGAAGUGGCCAUCAUGGAUCUAGUCUAUAGAAAAUGUGUAAAUUCCCUGUAGCACUGGAGCUGAGAAUUUAGACCUAGCCCAGGUUCAAAUCAAAGUUCAUGGCUCUUUUCCGCUUGAAAUUACAGAGAAGUCAUAGAGUCUCUUUAGGACUAGCCUGAUGGUCUUGACCUUUUUUGAAUGUCAGGGUCUCCUUUGAGAGUGUGCUGAAACUUUUGAAUCCUCUUCUCAGAAGAAUGCACAUGAGCUUAAGAUUUUGCUUACAAAGUUAAGGAGUCCACAGACAUCCUGAAGUCCAUUCAUGGGUUCUCCAGAAGCCCUUUGGCUGGAGGUUGGACCAUAUAAAUUCAAACUCCAAAGGAUGACUUGUCUGCUUGGGCCGGCAAUUGGUGUGAUAAAUUGUAAGGUGGAGAACUGAGGCAAAAUGUUGCGUUUCAAUACUAGAGCUAAAGACUCUGGUAAGAGUUUUCUAGAUUGAGGAGAUAGAUAUUGGUCAGGUUUUGCCUGCUCUAUGAAUUUCCUGCUCAAAGUGAAGACAGGAGCCUUCACAUUUCAUAGUUUGUCCUUUUCUGGCCAUUUGGAAACCUGACUGUUUUGACUGUACAAACUUACAGCUGGGGCCUGAGCAGUGAGCAGAAUGGAAUGUCUAUCAGGACAGCCGUAGAUUUCCACAGCUUCCUGCUUUCGUCAGCUUCAGCUUAACAUCUAUUAUUGUGAAGAGUAGGGUCUUCCAAGUUUAUAAGAAGAAUCAGAUUUCCAAGAGCAAUUUACCCCUUUCUUCAUUCUGUUAGGCAUUAUUUGGAAUGGCUUUUCUUCGAUGAAUUCAAUUAACAGGCUGGAGUGCAGCGGCGUGAUCUCGGCUCACUACAACCUCCACCUCCCGGGUUCAAGCGAUUCUUCUGCUUCAGCCUUCUCCUGAGCAGCUGGGAUUACAAGUGCGCACCAUCAUGCCUGGCUAAUUUUUGUAUUUUUAAUAGAGACGGGGUUUCUCCAUGUUGGCCAGGCUCGUCUCAAACUCCUGACCUCAGGUGAUCUGCCCACCUCGGCCUCCCGAAGUGCUGGGAUUACAGGUGUGAGCCACUGCACCCAGCCUAAAGAGAAUAUUUUCUCAAUUAAAAAUACUAUAGUCUUCAGAAAAGAAUCAAUUAAAGUGAUGAGAAAUUUCAAAUAUAUUAACUACAAACUGCAACUUUGAAAAAUAUUGCAGGCAAUUUUAUUAAGUUCUACAGAGAAAUGUCAGUAACAUGGUAUUAGAAAUAAAUAUAGCUGAUAAACAGAUUAAAGUUUAUGAAUAUAUACCAAGAAUAAUUAUUCUGCUUAUGUAAUUUUAAUUUUGGAAAACCAUUUUGAAAAGUUUGUUACAUGAAAUGUUAUUUUUAAAAGAAUUUCAUAUUUGAAAAUAGUUUGAAUAUAUAAUUUUUAAGUAUUUUCAAUGCAAUUAGUCCAAUUUUCUGAUCAAUAAAUAUCUUUUAAAAGUAUGUAACUUUAUUGUUUUCAUUUCAAAAUGUUUCAGUUUGGAAAUUAUACAAUCAUCCUACAUAACCAGGCAACACAAAUCACAUAAAAAUACGUAUGCCCUCAGCGACACUGUGCUAUCUUCUAACUAGGUUUCCUUCUGUGUGUACUUAAGUGUGUGUGAUAUCAAAAAUUCACGUGAAUGGCUUUAUAUUUGACUUGAUGACCCAGAGUACUAUUGAGCAAGAAAUAGCAUUGCCCUGGGUAUGCUAUUUGAUCAGAAUCUACCUUGUCUGUCAUUCCUUCUUGCAUACUUGCUUUCUGUUUUUCUGAACUUCUCUGACUAUAAGGUUCUAUCUGUUUUCUUUUCUUGCUUGUACUUUGUCAGAAAACUAAUUUGCAGUCAUUCAUACUAGUAUUUACUGAGUGAGGUGAUUCUAACAUCAUGUAGAAACAGUUGAAUCAAAUCCUACCAUACCAUUGAUUAACUGGGUAAACUUUGGUAAAUCACUUAAUGUCUCUAAAUGCGAUGUUCUUAUUUGUGAGACAUGGAUGAUAAUAUCUGCCAUGUACAUUGUUGCAAGUAUUUUAAAAAUGAUAUUUGUAAGCAUUUAAAAAUAUUAUAUUUUAAAAUAUAAUAUAAUUA
rnacentral:lncRNA from 10 species